rnacentral:rRNA from 1 species
UACGAAGGGGGCAAGCGUUGUCCGGAUUUACUGGGCGUAAAGAGCGCGCAGGCGGUCGUUCAAGUCGCGUGUGAAAGCCCCCGGCUCAACUGGGGAGGGUCACGCGAUACUGAUCGACUCGAAGGCAGGAGAGGGUAGUGGAAUUCCCGGUGUAGUGGUGAAAUGCGUAGAUAUCAGGAGGAACACCGGUGGCGAAGGCGGCUACCUGGACAGAAACUGACGCUGAGGCGCGAAAGCUAGGGGAGCAAACAGG